rnacentral:tRNA from 1 species
GGCCUUGCAGUGAAAGUUCAUAGUGAGUUGCAAACUCAUUGAUGUGUAUUAGAAGUACACCGGGGUCU